rnacentral:rRNA from 1 species
AGAGUUUGAUCCUGGCUCAGGAUGAACGCUAGCGGGAGGCCUAAUACAUGCAAGUCGAACGGUAACAGGGCAGAACUUCGGUUCAGCUGCUGACGAGUGGCGCACGGGUGAGUAACGCGUACGUAACCUACCUUCAAGAGAGGGAUAGCCCCGGGAAACUGGGAUUAAUACCUCAUAGAAUUGUUAAUCCGCAUGGGUAUACAAUUAAAGCUUCGGCGCUUGAAGAUGGACGUGCGUGCCAUUAGUUAGUUGGUGAGGUAAUGGCUCACCAAGACAUCGAUGGCUAGGGGGCGUGAGAGCGUGGACCCCCACACGGGUACUGAGACACGGACCCGACUCCUACGGGAGGCAGCAGUAAGGAAUAUUGGACAAUGGACGCAAGUCUGAUCCAGCCAUCCCGCGUGUAGGAUGACUGCCCUACGGGUUGUAAACUACUUUUAUUUGGGAAGAAACCUGGUUAUUUAUGACCAGUUGACGGUACCUUAUGAAUAAGCACCGGCUAACUCCGUGCCAGCAGCCGCGGUAAUACGGAGGGUGCAAGCGUUAUCCGGAAUCACUGGGUUUAAAGGGAGCGUAGGCGGCAUAAUAAGUCAGAGGUGAAAGGCUGUAGCUUAACUAUGGAAUUGCCUUUGAUACUGUUAUGCUUGAAUCAAGUUGAGGUCGGCAGAAUGUGACAUGUAGCGGUGAAAUGCAUAGAUAUGUCAUAGAAUACCAAUUGCGAAGGCAGCUGGCUGGACUUGUAUUGACGCUGAGGCUCGAAAGCGUGGGGAGCAAACAGGAUUAGAUACCCUGGUAGUCCACGCCCUAAACGAUGUUUACUCGAUGUUGGCUAUUGCAGUCAGCGUCCAAGGGAAACCGUUAAGUAAACCACCUGGGGAGUACGUCGGCAACGAUGAAACUCAAAGGAAUUUUGACGGGGGUGCACAAGCGGUGGAGCAUGUGGUUUAAUUCGACGAGAUACGCG